GGCUAGCAAUUUAUUGUGAAAAGAAAGCCGAGUGUGUAAGCCUUUCCUGCCAGUACAUAGCCUCUGUAUUAUCAAGACUCCAGCAGAAUCCUCCUCGCGGUAACACAUGGAUACUGAUUACUUAGUUAGUCAGGCUAAUCUGUUGGAGAUCUCGGAGUAGCAAGGACCCUAGAGAUGCAGUGUGUAGGCCCAUCGGUGUGUGGAUACGCCCUAGCACUCAUCAACCUUGCCCCAGUUAUGGGAAAAUAAACGGUCAGAUAGAGGUCGUAGUCAGGGAUGACUAUCUAUCUAGGAGAGACAACUCUGAAUUGAAACAUGGGUAGAUCAUGACUCAUAGUCGGGGACGACAACUGAUCUAAAGGAAGAGAACCUUGAAAGAAAAUCUCCUGGUCCUCCAGGUUGGGGGUUGAGCACAAGACCAACUAUCUCGUCUCGCAAAAAAACAAACAGUUACGGAAACAAGGACAAGAAACUUAACUCGUCUCGGACACUCGGAAUACCAGCAAUCACAUGCAAGUAUGAAUGGUGCCAGUGAAAGCCAAGAGGAAGCUAGCAGCAGGAAUGGUAUUCUGAACACGAGAACAAAACUGAAGGUAGGAUGUUGGAAUG
rnacentral:lncRNA from 1 species